AUUGAACGCUGGCGGCAGGCCUAACACAUGCAAGUCGAGCGGAUGAAGGGAGCUUGCUCCUGGAUUCAGCGGCGGACGGGUGAGUAAUGCCUAGGAAUCUGCCUGGUAGUGGGGGAUAACGUCCGGAAACGGGCGCUAAUACCGCAUACGUCCUGAGGGAGAAAGUGGGGGAUCUUCGGACCUCACGCUAUCAGAUGAGCCUAGGUCGGAUUAGCUAGUUGGUGGGGUAAAGGCCUACCAAGGCGACGAUCCGUAACUGGUCUGAGAGGAUGAUCAGUCACACUGGAACUGCAACACGGUCCAGACUCCUACGAGAGGCAGCAGUGGGGAAUAUUGGACAAUGGGCGAAAGCCUGAUCCAGCCAUGCCGCGUGUGUGAAGAAGGUCUUCGGAUUGUAAAGCACUUUAAGUUGGGAGGAAGGGCAGUAAGUUAAUACCUUGCUGUUUUGACGUUACCAACAGAAUAAGCACCGGCUAACUUCGUG
rnacentral:rRNA from 1 species